rnacentral:rRNA from 1 species
CCUACGGGAGGCUGCAGUGGGGAAUAUUGGACAAUGGGGGCAACCCUGAUCCAGCCAUGCCGCGUGUGUGAAGAAGGCCCUCGGGUUGUAAAGCACUUUCAGUGAGGAAGAACGCCUGGUGGUUAAUACCCAUCAGGAAAGACAUCACUCACAGAAGAAGCACCGGCUAACUCCGUGCCAGCAGCCGCGGUAAUACGGAGGGUGCGAGCGUUAAUCGGAAUUACUGGGCGUAAAGCGCGCGUAGGUGGCUUGAUAAGCCGGUUGUGAAAGCCCCGGGCUCAACCUGGGAACGGCAUCCGGAACUGUCAAGCUAGAGUGCAGGAGAGGAAGGUAGAAUUCCCGGUGUAGCGGUGAAAUGCGUAGAGAUCGGGAGGAAUACCAGUGGCGAAGGCGGCCUUCUGGAUUGACACUGACACUGAGGUGCGAAAGCGUGGGUAGCAAACAGGAUUAGAUACCCUAGUAGUC